GUAGCUGAAAAACUUAUUGGAAAUAAUACUUCAGAUAUGGAUUUUUCUAUGCUACAAAAUUUUACUAGUGAAAAAUUAAAGAAAACUGAAAAUUUUCAUUUAAAACUCAUUUCCAUUGGAGAGGUGUGUUCUCAACUAAAACAUCUUAAUAUUAAUAAAUCCGCAGGUUUAGAUGGAAUAGGUCCCAAAUUUUUAAAAUUAAGUGCAGAAAUAAUAUCCCCAUCAUUAACUUUUUUAAUAAACAAAAGUAUAACUUCAAAUCGUUUUUCGCAAAAAUUAAAACUUGCAAGAGUAACUGCUAUACAUAAAGGAGGACCAAGAGAUAUUCCCUCAAAUUAUCGUCCAAUUUGUAUUUUGAA
rnacentral:lncRNA from 1 species